GCGUGAAGCAACCUAGGCCUUUAAACAGGGGAAUAAACGCCAAUCGAAAGAGAGUGCAAUACCGCAUAAGACCACGGCAUCACAUGGUGCAGGGGUCAAAGGAGCAAUCCGGUUAAAGAUGGGCUCGGCGUCCGAUUAGGCUGGUUGGUGAGACAACAGCCCACCAAGGCGACGAUCGGUAGCCGACCUGAGAGGUGAUCGGCCACAUUGGAACUGAGAUACGGUCCAGACUCCUACGGGAGGCAGCAGUGGGGAAUAUUGGGCAAUGGGCGAAAGCCCUGACCCAGCAACGCCGCGUGAGGGAAGAAGGGUUUCGGCUCGUAAACCUCUGUCCUAUGGGACGAAGGAAGUGACGGUACCAUAGGAGGAAGCCCCGGCUAACUACGUGCCAGCAGCAGC
rnacentral:rRNA from 1 species